GGAAAACUGUUUGCUUUUGUGGGAGCAAAAGACAACUUUCUGCCCCGCCAGAGCGUUGCUAAGUGAGCGGUAAUGACCACGCUAGAAAUUUCGUAGGGAGAGGCUAAUGGCAGGCUGACUCUAAAAGUGCUUUUAAGUGCAACUUCUGUCUAAUCCCUUGGGGGGGAAGAAAACAUCGGCGACUAAGAAAGUUCAAGUUGUACAGGACCCGGGUUUUUAGGGUCGGGGUCACUUCUGCUCUGCAUGACUUUGAAGAGGAAGACCUGCGGUUUUUUCCAGUGGAUUUUCACACGUGUUUUAAAGAGAACUCCCGGCUCCUGAAAUGAAAGGCCCGCCUGUAGGGUUUUGCUGCCUCCCCUCUGCCCACGCCCCACCCCCACAGCCUGGAUCAAAGCGAUCAGACAAAUUAUUCAGAAGUAACACAGCCCUGAAAUGUUCCUAAACGUGACUGUUUGAGGCGAUGAAUCAAGCGUGUUCCCCCCGCCCCCAACCCACCCCCAGACCGAAAAUGUGACUCUAGAAACGGACUUGCAGAGCUGGCUUCGGUUUAUAUGCGGUUCUGACCCCUGUUGACUUUAGGACAAGCCUUCCUGUUUCCAGGACUGCAGCAUCGCCAGACAGCCUCGCCAUGCAAUCGGCUUUCCAGAUACGAUUUCACUCCUCACCAAAGACACUUCUUUAGGGCGAUUUUAGGAUUCUAUCAACGCUAGCAAAGGAACUACUUAAACACGUUGAUUUGUAUCGCCUUCCCUGACUAUGAAACAUUGAAGUGGAAUACUACUCAUCAAUAAAAAAAUAUAAGCUCCUGAUACACCUCAUGGAUGGAUGGAUAGAUGGAUGGAUGGAUCUGAAAAACAUCAUGCUGAAUAAAAGAAGCCAGACAUGAAAGAGCUGCCACUACCAGGAGCACGCUGGCCUGCCGGCGGGAGGAACAGAUGCCAGAGGAGACCUGACUGUGUCCUCAAGGCCAUGCCCCAUCAGCCACCCCAGCAGAGCCCACAGCCACCCACACAGGAAUGAGUAUCCCCAUCCAGGAUCACCGGAACUGCACAACUGACUCACAAACGUGUGAGGAGUAAUGGGUAACGUGUUGAACUGUGAGCCUUUGAGCCUGGGGAGGUUUGUGAUGCAGCAGUAGCUCCCAGUUGGCAUGAAGGUGCUGAGCCGUGCACCUAUGCAAAGCCAAACUCUGCACUAGGCCUACUGGGGUGUGCAGAGAGAGAGGGCUGAACAAACCGUGGUUCCACCCAGAAGACCCAGAAGAACUUUUACGGAGGAGUCAGUGCAAGAGGCAAGAGAGCAUGCGUGAAGAGGCUCGUUCUUGUGGUGUAGAAAAGGAGGCCAGAGUCUCCCAGACCACGAUUCUUUUCCUUUAGGUGUUUCUUGGGCAUUUUCAAUCUUAAAUCUCUUCCCAUGUUAUUGAGAUUUCUGAUUGAAUGUCCCCAUUUUCCCUCAGACAGCAGGCCGUGUGUGAGUCACCACCUCUAUCUUUCUAUGUCCUGGGUGUGGGCCCAGUGAAGGAAAGUUAUGGAAAUUUAGAGAGAAGAGGUCGCAGGUGUGGUGGGGGUGGUGAAGCUUCAGAAGAGAAAAGAAGCAUAGUGGAGAGGGUGGACUCUGGAGGCCACUGCAGAACUCUCCCCCAGGCUAUGAGGGGGCAUGAUGGUCCCAAUAGCCUGAGUCUGUGUUCAUUUCAACUGGCUACCUUGUGACGAGGAAGAUGGCCCAGGUUCCCAGUGGGAAAUCUAUGGUUAUCAUUAAGAGCGCAGGGCCUGAGAUGAAACCUGGCAGGUGAAAGGCACCUGGUUUUAUGCAACCUGGUUUUGCAGAAGCCUGUGGGAGGGGGCCCAGGGGGGAAGGGAGCAGAGGGCAGUGUUGGCUCUGGUUCCCCCACCAGGCAGGUGGGCUAGCACCCGGGUAAGGGGCUUUGCAUCUGGACCUGGUCAUGCCUCAGUCCAGACCCUGCCUUUAUCAGUUGAUGGACUGUUACCUGCCAGUGGUUAUGGUGAGGACUAAAUUACGGAAAGUCAUCAAGGAUCUUCAUUCAUUGCCCACCACAGAGCAGGCACUCAAUGGAGAACACUCACCACCAUCUAUGUUGUUAAUGUUGCAUCUGCAGCCCUUGGUUUCCUGGAAAGACUCUACAGUACAGGGGCAGGUUAGGGGCCACAACCGGGAAACAAGACACAUCUGAGAGAAUGCAUGGGAGCUUAUGGAAGGAUGUACAAGGCUGGGUGUGGGAAUCCCGGCACUUCGGGAGGCUAAGGUGGAAGGAUCACUUGCAUCCAGGAUUCAAGCCUAGCCUGGCCACGUAGUGAGACCCCAGCUCUACGAAAAAUCAAAAAUCAACUGGGCAUGGUGGCAUGUGCCUCUAAUCCAAGCUACUCAGGAAGCAGAGAUGGGAGGAUCGCUUGAGCCCAGGAGGUUGAGGCUGCAGUGAGCUGAGAUCAUACCACUGCACUCAUUCUGGGCAACAGAGUGAAACCCUGUCUCAAAAAUUAAAUAAAUAAAUAAAUAAAUAAAGAAUUUACAAGAGGGGAGUUUUAGUGGUUGAAAAAUCAUUCACUCACUCCAGGAGCAAGAGCCUUGUGAGUUUUCUUCCUGUUCUUGCCUGGGUUAUCUCUACUGAACCAAAGAAUCCUUGUUAGGAAUGCUCUGGUGGUGUCAAUCAACGUGUUUAUAAAUCAUUUGCUUUUACCAUGGAAAAAGAUAUCACAAAACAACACAGCUGUAGUGCAGGUGCAGAUGACCAUGGAACGGCAGCCUGGCGUUUUCAGCAGAGCACUGGGCAGCAGAGUCCCUGGGCCUCGGAACCCCAGCCCGUUACCACCCAACACCAUCCCUGGGCAAAACACGAAACUCCCAUCAGAUCCAUGAAUGGAAAAUGGGCGUAAUUAUAAUUGCACCCCACUCUCUACCUCUCAGCUAAGGUGAGAAAUGAAUAUGAGGAUGCUCAGUGAAAAUGCUUUGAAGUCUGUGAAAUGCGAAGCAAAUGUGAAGCGCGAGGAAUAAUAAGGUUCUAAGGACCCACAUUUGGGCGUUUGCUCUGAGCUGGCCCCUGUCCUCCACACUGAACCUACAGCCUCUCCUCUCACCUAAUCUGCACAAAAAUCUUACGAAGCAGACACACUUACCAUGCUGGCCUUUCCGUGAAAUUUCAGGUCUUAGUGUCGCCCAUUACGGGUGGCAUUUCAUGCCACAAGUUGGGCCAUCUGCACCUCCAAGCAUAGGGUCACACAAGACUUUAUCCCGUCCCUUGGGCUGACUGAAUGGCUGGUUUGUGUCAACCCCUGUUGUCCCUUUGAGCAACUCGGGGGCAAUGGUUAUGGGUAGGGCUUAAAAAACCGUCUGGCUGCAAACCCAGUGCUGAUACGAACAAGGCCUAGUCAGGCACUAAGUGUUUUGUGUUCACCAAAGAGAUCUUAAUGAAAUCUCGGCAUGCCACUCACUCCUACACUUAAAAUACCUUUUAAGUGUAGGAAAGAAAGUGCUUCCAACCCCACCCCAGCCAUUUGGAUUCGGAGACUCCAUUGAAGAUGCACAGCUUUCCUCCAGCACAGGGGCUGGGUAUCCAAACGCAGAGCCUCCCCCAGACUCUCUCUGGGCUUAGCCUGGCUUGGUGGGCUCAGGAGGGAUUCAAGAUUAUUUCAUCCUUUAUGUCCAUUCGAUGACAGUUAAUCAUCAUUGCCACCUCAUACUCUAUUGUAGCCAAACAUCAUAACCAGCACCAUGUGAACUACGUCACUGACGCCACAUUCUUUUUCUCGGCUGUCACUAGGCUCAGGUCAGGACGGCCCUCCCGGCUGACUUCCGCGAUACUUUCUGUAUCUCCUUUUCAGUCUGCCCUAAAAUGACAGCUGGACUUCCGACAGUGGUUUCUUAUGUGGGACACAUGGCUCUUAUACUCUGGGUGGCACGGAUUCCUUUAUUGCCAGUGGCUUAAUUUUCCCAGAUCUAUUUCCAUGCAGACAGUGUGAGGUUGGACUUCAUGCCUCAUGCUCCUGAUUGGGGCUCGGAAGUCUACCCCAGCUUCCUGCAGUGCCGCCCCCAGCUUAUUCAAUGCCCAACCUGCAGGUCCUAAGUUGAAUCCGCACACUGCACGCUCACCUGGUCUGUGCUUCCAGCUGCAUUGGAAAUGGAAGCAUUGAACACCGUUCUCCACUGUCAGCCACCUGCUAGCUAAUGAGUGACAUCAUUUAACACUGUUUUGAAAAGAGAGAUUUAAAGUUGUUUU